rnacentral:rRNA from 1 species
UUGGAGGGCAAGUCUGGUGCCAGCAGCCGCGGUAAUUCCAGCUCCAAUAGCGUAUAUUAAAGUUGUUGCAGUUAAAAAGCUCGUAGUUGAAUUUCGGGGUCAGUAGGUUGGUCAUGGCACUGCUAUGUACUGGCCUCACUGAUUCCUCCUUCCUGAUGAGCCGUAAUGCCAUUAAUUUGGUGUUGCGAGGAAUCUGGACUGUUACUUUGAAAAAAUUAGAGUGUUUAAAGCAGGCUAACGCUUGAAUACAUUAGCAUGGAAUAAUGAAAUAGGACGUUCGAUCUUAUUUUGUUGGUUUCUAAGAUUGACGUAAUGAUUAAUAGGGAUAGUUGGG